rnacentral:misc_RNA from 1 species
GCUUGUUUCUCUUUGACCUUUUACACAUUAAAGCCCUCUCCAGCUGCUCAACCCUCUGUGAUAGUGACCUCAACAAUCUUGUUUGCAUCUCAUUCCUCUCAAAAAACUUUGUCAUCAAUCCCAUCAUUUUCUCAUUGUCCUCCAUCAUCCUCUCCACUAGGUCUCUGUUCUUUCUGCUCACUUCCUCUUUGACACCAUAAGAUUACUCUUUCACAUGUUCUUCCUUGUGUUCAGCUACGGCAUUUUCAUGAUUUCCCCAUAAAUCAUCCUCGGGGUCUGCAGAGGAAUCCGCUUGGCUUUCUUCUCGAUUUAAAUCGACACUUUCUGCGCAUUCAUUUCCUGAUACUGACACAUCAUCUUCCACAUU